rnacentral:rRNA from 1 species
GGGUUGUGAGGUUAAGCGAUUAAGCGUACACGGUGGAUGCCCUGGCAGUCAGAGGCGAUGAAGGGCGUGCUAAUCUGCGAUAAGCGCCGGUAAGGUGAUAUGAACCGUUAUAACCGGCGAUACCCGAAUGGGGAAACCCAGUGUGAUUCGUCACACUAUCAUUAACUGAAUCCAUAGGUUAAUGAGGCGAACCGGGGGAACUGAAACAUCUAAGUACCCCGAGGAAAAGAAAUCAACCGAGAUUCCCCCAGUAGCGGCGAGCGAACGGGGAGGAGCCCAGAGCCUGAAUCAGCAUGUGUGUUAGUGGAAGCGUCUGGAAAGGCGCGCGAUACAGGGUGACAGCCCCGUACACAAAAGCGCAUGUGCUGUGAGCUCGAUGAGUAGGGCGGGACACGUGGUAUCCUGUCUGAAUAUGGGGGGACCAUCCUCCAAGGCUAAAUACUCCUGACUGACCGAUAGUGAACCAGUACCGUGAGGGAAAGGCGAAAAGAACCCCGGCGAGGGGAGUGAAAAAGAACCUGAAACCGUGUACGUACAAGCAGUGGGAGCACAGGUUUACCUGUGUGACUGCGUACCUUUUGUAUAAUGGGUCAGCGACUUAUAUUCUGUAGCAAGGUUAACCGUAUAGGGGAGCCGCAGGGAAACCGAGUCUUAACCGGGCGUUAAGUUGCAGGGUAUAGACCCGAAACCCGGUGAUCUAGUCAUGGGCAGGUUGAAGGUUGGGUAACACUAACUGGAGGACCGAACCGACUAAUGUUGAAAAAUUAGCGGAUGACCUGUGGCUGGGGGUGAAAGGCCAAUCAAACCGGGAGAUAGCUGGUUCUCCCCGAAAGCUAUUUAGGUAGCGCCUCGUGAAUUCAUCUCCGGGGGUAGAGCACUGUUUCGGCUAGGGGGCCAUCCCGGCUUACCAACCCGAUGCAAACUGCGAAUACCGGAGAAUGUUAUCACGGGAGACACACGGCGGGUGCUAACGUCCGUCGUGAAGAGGGAAACAACCCAGACCGCCAGCUAAGGUCCCAAAGUCAUGGUUAAGUGGGAAACGAUGUGGGAAGGCCCAGACAGCCAGGAUGUUGGCUUAGAAGCAGCCAUCAUUUAAAGAAAGCGUAAUAGCUCACUGGUCGAGUCGGCCUGCGCGGAAGAUGUAACGGGGCUAAACCAUGCACCGAAGCUGCGGCAGCGA